GUGCUCAUUUUGACAACAAGUAUACUAAAACUAGAACCAUACAGACAGGAUUAGCAUGGCUUCUGCACAUGGAUGAUCCAAUAAGACAGUUCCUUAUACCU
ensembl:snRNA U6 U6 spliceosomal RNA